rnacentral:rRNA from 1 species
UUUUGUAUAAUGGGUCAGCGACUUAUAUUCUGUAGCAAGGUUAACCGAAUAGGGGAGCCGAAGGGAAACCGAGUCUUAACUGGGCGUUAAGUUGCAGGGUAUAGACCCGAAACCCGGUGAUCUAGCCAUGGGCAGGUUGAAGGUUGGGUAACACUAACUGGAGGACCGAACCGACUAAUGUUGAAAAAUUAGCGGAUGACUUGUGGCUGGGGGUGAAAGGCCAAUCAAACCGGGAGAUAGCUGGUUCUCCCCGAAAGCUAUUUAGGUAGCGCCUCGUGAAUUCAUCUCCGGGGGUAGAGCACUGUUUCGGCAAGGGGGUCAUCCCGACUUACCAACCCGAUGCAAACUGCGAAUACCGGAGAAUGUUAUCACGGGAGACACACGGCGGGUGCUAACGUCCGUCGUGAAGAGGGAAACAACCCAGACCGCCAGCUAAGGUCCCAAAGUCAUGGUUAAGUGGGAAACGAUGUGGGAAGGCCCAGACAGCCAGGAUGUUGGCUUAGAAGCAGCCAUCAUUUAAAGAAAGCGUAAUAGCUCACUGGUCGAGUCGGCCUGCGCGGAAGAUGUAACGGGGCUAAACCAUGCACCGAAGCUGCGGCAGCGACGCUUAUGCGUUGUUGGGUAGGGGAGCGUUCUGUAAGCCUGUGAAGGUGGCCUGUGAGGGUUGCUGGAGGUAUCAGAAGUGCGAAUGCUGACAUAAGUAACGAUAAAGCGGGUGAAAAGCCCGCUCGCCGGAAGACCAAGGGUUCCUGUCCAACGUUAAUCGGGGCAGGGUGAGUCGACCCCUAAGGCGAGGCCGAAAGGCGUAGUCGAUGGGAAACAGGUUAAUAUUCCUGUACUUGGUGUUACUGCGAAGGGGGGACGGAGAAGGCUAUGUUGGCCGGGCGACGGUUGUCCCGGUUUAAGCGUGUAGGCUGGUUUUCCAGGCAAAUCCGGAAAAUCAAGGCUGAGGCGUGAUGACGAGGCACUACGGUGCUGAAGCGACAAAUGCCCUGCUUCCAGGAAAAGCCUCUAAGCAUCAGGUAACAUCAAAUCGUACCCCAAACCGACACAGGUGGUCAGGUAGAGAAUACCAAGGCGCUUGAGAGAACUCGGGUGAAGGAACUAGGCAAAAUGGUGCCGUAACUUCGGGAGAAGGCACGCUGAUAUGUAGGUGAAGCGACUUGCUCGUGGAGCUGAAAUCAGUCGAAGAUACCAGCUGGCUGCAACUGUUUAUUAAAAACACAGCACUGUGCAAACACGAAAGUGGACGUAUACGGUGUGACGCCUGCCCGGUGCCGGAAGGUUAAUUGAUGGGGUUAGCGGUAACGCGAAGCUCUUGAUCGAAGCCCCGGUAAACGGCGGCCGUAACUAUAACGGUCCUAAGGUAGCGAAAUUCCUUGUCGGGUAAGUUCCGACCUGCACGAAUGGCGUAAUGAUGGCCAGGCUGUCUCCACCCGAGACUCAGUGAAAUUGAACUCGCUGUGAAGAUGCAGUGUACCCGCGGCAAGACGGAAAGACCCCGUGAACCUUUACUAUAGCUUGACACUGAACAUUGAGCCUUGAUGUGUAGGAUAGGUGGGAGGCUUUGAAGUGUGGACGCCAGUCUGCAUGGAGCCGACCUUGAAAUACCACCCUUUAAUGUUUGAUGUUCUAACGUGGGCCCCUUACCGGGGUUGCGGACAGUGUCUGGUGGGUAGUUUGACUGGGGCGGUCUCCUCCUAAAGAGUAACGGAGGAGCACGAAGGUUGGCUAAUCCUGGUCGGACAUCAGGAGGUUAGUGCAAUGGCAUAAGCCAGCUUGACUGCGAGCGUGACGGCGCGAGCAGGUGCGAAAGCAGGUCAUAGUGAUCCGGUGGUUCUGAAUGGAAGGGCCAUCGCUCAACGGAUAAAAGGUACUCCGGGGAUAACAGGCUGAUACCGCCCAAGAGUUCAUAUCGACGGCGGUGUUUGGCACCUCGAUGUCGGCUCAUCACAUCCUGGGGCUGAAGUAGGUCCCAAGGGUAUGGCUGUUCGCCAUUUAAAGUGGUACGCGAGCUGGGUUUAGAACGUCGUGAGACAGUUCGGUCCCUAUCUGCCGUGGGCGCUGGAGAACUGAGGGGGGCUGCUCCUAGUACGAGAGGACCGGAGUGGACGCAUCACUGGUGUUCGGGUUGUCAUGCCAAUGGCACUGCCCGGUAGCUAAAUGCGGAAGAGAUAAGUGCUGAAAGCAUCUAAGCACGAAACUUGCCCCGAGAUGAGUUCUCCCUGAGACUUAGAGUCUCCUGAAGGAACGUUGAAGACGACGACGUUGAUAGGCCGGGUGUGUAAGCGCAGCGAUGCGUUGAGCUAACCGGUACUAAUGAACCGUGAGGCUUAACCUUACAACGCCGAAG